rnacentral:rRNA from 1 species
GGGGGGACGAGGGUGGACAGGUGGUGCAUGGUUGUCGUCAGCUCGUGUCGUGAGAUGUUGGGUUAAGUCCCGCAACGAGCGCAACCCUCGACCUUAGUUGCCAGCAUUCAGUUGGGCACUCUAAGGUGACUGCCGGCUAAAAGUCGGAGGAAGGUGGGGAUGACGUCAAAUCAUCAUGCCCCUUAUGACCUGGGCUACACACGUGCUACAAUGGGCGGUACAAAGGGUCGCGAACCCGCGAGGGGGAGCCAAUCCCAUAAAACCGAUCGUAGUCCGGAUCGCAGUCUGCAACUCGACUGCGUGAAGUCGGAAUCGCUAGUAAUCGUGAAUCAGAAUGUCACGGUGAAUACGUUCCCGGGCCUU